UUUUACCUGCUUAUGCUUAUAGACUAAGCGUACCUCGGUUUGUAUAGUUGAGUGCUCCAAAUGGUGGGUUCUUGAAGCGUGGGUUGCUUGCUCCCACAAGAAAAUCGUGGCCGCAUCAGCAAUCAUGGCCUUCUGGAACCUGACGACUAUAAAAAACUCGCUUGCUCACAGCGUUCAUAUCUGUCGUGGUUCUGCGUUACCAUCGACAACAUUCGGGAGCAAAUCUUGAAGUAGCUGCAGAAGCUGAAAAGGAAGAGUUAGCACAGGAGCAGCCGGACAAGGCUAUAGUUGUCGCAGAAAAGAUGUCCUGUGACUAGUGCCGAGGCUUUAUCAGCGACAUCCGAGACACUGUUGUACUGUCCGAGGAGCGUUGUAGAUCUUGCAAUGCGAAAAAUGGGUUCUCCCCCCUCCGGUGAAUAAUCUGUCUGUAAAACUAAUACCUUUUCUGUAUAAUGUAUAUUCUAUUCAAAUCACUAUGGCUCUUGCAAUUUUGGAAUGCGGGCAUUUAGAUAGACCGUAGAGUUAGGCCUGUUUUUUCCUUCUGUCCUAGUGGCUUAUCUACUGUUGGAGAAGAACCUGGGAAGCUUUGUGUUUGAUCUAGUUAUGUAUAUGCAUGAUGAAAAAAAUUCAUUAGAUCUAGUUAU